rnacentral:lncRNA from 1 species
AUGUGUCAGUGUAUGGCCUGCCUGAACCCUAAAACUAUAACUGGAAAACUUUCAUGGGUUUCUUGGGGACACCAAUUAGAUAAUCCAAGCCCACGUGUCUUCCGUCCUGGCUGGAUGAGCCUGCGUCCUUCCCUUCUGGAACAUGGAAACACAGCAGAGCAGGCCACACUCACAAAGAUUAAAAAUGGUGCACGGCACAUAUUGGGAGUAGGAUGUUGUUUUUGUGCUUACUUCUGUGGCUGCACGCGGUCUUCAUGCCCAAAGUCUUACCCACGAUCGUCCAGCAACAAAAUGACCUGGGAUUUCUCCUUUUUCCUUAGAAGUGGCACAGGAGAUCAUGGAGAAGUUAGCUCUGUGAGGAGCGCUCCAAGCCUUUGGGUUGUGGCAGAAAAAGCAGGGAGGCUACUUCGAUGCCAGAUCUACAAGGUGUGUGGUGGGAGGGAUUGA